rnacentral:lncRNA from 1 species
GUCCUAGACAGAUGCCUGUCCCUUCUCUUUGUGGGCAUGUUCGUCUUUCUCUGAUCGCAGCCUCUUUAUACCCACAGAUUUCCCCCAGUCAACAACUCGUUGAGUGUCUACUCUGGGGAACUCUUGUUUGGGCUCAUUUUCGGCCACCUCGAAUAUGUGGAAUGAUUUCAGGCUAAGAUGGAUCCCACCAGUUCUCAUCCAUGCACCCUGUCCUGGGGCUGGGACAGUAAGGAACAUUGCCAGCUUCUGUUAGAUUUCUGUUUUUGCUCAUGACUCUCUUCUGGCAUCCUUAUGCAGCACUGGGCAAGAAGAGCCAGUGGACCAGCUUUGCCAGGAUCUAUCCACCUUCCCAUCUCACAGCCCAGUCUCCAGCUCAGAAGCCAAGAAAUCCAUGCCUUUGUCCCCUGGUAUCGACCAUUUAUGGAAUCCCCCUGCCAGCCCUUGGUGGUGUAAAUGGCAGAUGGGAACAGAUGACUGUGGCCUCUCAGCAUCCUGCCUUCCUGUGGUCCUGGGGCAAGUCCAGCUUCAGAGGGAGAACAGGUGCACUGGGUGGAUUGCCUGUGGGAGAAGUUGAAGACUUUCUGGAAGGUUCAGGAGGGUGGGGAAGAUGAGGAGGAGGCAUGAGAAAAAGCUUCCAGGUUCAGCAGUGACCUUGAUCAGAAAAGAAGCUGAUGUCUUGGGAUAUGGCAAGCUUGGAUGAUUCUUGACAGCAAAGAGCUUGGAAUCAGGAUUUGGACUGCUUGUAGGAAAGUUUGAAUUAUCUUCAAAGCCUGUCUUAAAGUGU